UGGCGCACGGGUGCGUAACGCGUAACCAACCUACCCACAACUGGGGGAUAGCCCGCCGAAAGGCGGAUUAAUACCGCAUAAGCUCUGAACUUGGCAUCAAGUUUUUAGUAAAGAUUUAUUGGUUGUGGAUGGGGUUGCGUGCCAUUAGCUAGUUGGUGAGGUAACGGCUCACCAAGGCGACGAUGGCUAGGGGAGCUGAGAGGCUGGUCCCCCACACGGGCACUGAGAUACGGGCCCG
rnacentral:rRNA from 1 species